UACGGAGGGUGCAAGCGUUGCUCGGAAUCACUGGGCGUAAAGCGGACGCAGGCGGUUCAGAAGGUCAGGUGUGAAAGCCCGGGGCUCAACCCCGGAAUUGCACUUGAAACCGCUGACCUGGAAUACGGGAGAGGGAAGCGGAAUUCCUGGUGUAGAGGUGAAAUUCGUAGAUAUCAGGAGGAACACCGGUGGCGAAAGCGGCUUCCUGGCCCGAUAUUGACGCUCAUGUCCGAAAGCGUGGGUAGCAAACAGG
rnacentral:rRNA from 1 species